AAGAUUUGACUGCUGAAAACAGGAGGAUUUCUGUAAUGAAAUGUCCAUCCUAAGUUAUGUUGUUUCUCGGUGCUUCCACAAAGCCUCCACAUCUGAGUACAUGGAGAUGGGAUCACUUUACCAUCUAAUUCAUUUAAGUGGUCAAAAGAAGCUGCUUAGCUGGCGGGAGAGAUUUAAGAUGUUAUAUGACAUAUGCAGAGGGUUGAUGUGCAUUCAUCGCAUGAAGAUAGUUCAUCGAAUCUAAAAAGUGCAAAUUGUCAUAUCAAUGAGUUUGACCGUUGUUACUUCACUUCUUGAGAAGUAUGAGGUUGAU